CAAUACGAACAGACCAAAACUAGAAAGCCUCCUAAAUUUGUUAAUAGCACCUACAAUGCUGGGAAUUCUUCACCUGUAAGAGCAGGCAGGUGAGGAGUUUCAGGUGCGAGGUU
rnacentral:ncRNA from 1 species